ACAGAAGAUUUAGGCUAGGUUGUAGUUUUUAUAAGAUCUGGCCUCUUUCUAGCCUGUCUUGUAGGGGAUAGCCCUUUUGGCUUCCUAUAGAAAUAUGGCCUGGGCAGACCAUGAAUGCCACUUUUGUCUCCUUAACCCAAGCUUAUCCAACCUGUGGCCUGCAGGCCGCACGAGGCCUAGGAUGGCUUUGAAUGCAGCCCAACACAAAUUUGUAGACUUUUUAAAAAUAUUAUGAGAUUUGUGUGUCUGUGUGUGUGUAUGUUUGUUUUCAGCCAAUGUUAGUGUUAGUAUAUUUUAUGUGUGGCCCAAGACAGUUCUUCCAUUGAGGCCCAGGGAAGCCAAAAGAUUGGAUACCCCUCCCUGCAAACCCUUGAGAGUAUGACAGACUCUGCUUAGCUCCUCCUACCCUUCACUACUGCUCUCUGCUUGGUUUCUCAGCACCCAGCCUUACGACUCAGCAAAUGCCCUUAGGGAAAGCUAUGAGAGUGGAAGCUCAUCUCGGGACUUCCGCCUUCUUUCUGGAAUACAGUCAGGCCUGCAAGUCCUGGUUGUCUUGGAAACUGGAUGCCUCCAAAUAGUAUUUCGGGAAAAAAAGUAUUCAGUUGUUCUCAGGGGAAAAGUGCCUCUGAUUGAAGCCAGUUUCUCAGAGCUGAAAGUAAGAGUCCCUGUCAUUUGCCUUUUUACUUUGUUUACACUGUUGUUUUGCUGAGAAGGUUUAAAUUUUUUGUGUAGUCAGAUGUAUCUAUUUCUUUAUGGUUUCCGGCCUUGCUAUAUUGCUUCAAAAUGCUGUUUCUAAGCCAGGUUUAUAGAAAUAGUCAUCUAAAUUUUUUUUAGUGUUUUUUUUUUUUGUUUUUGUUUUUGUUUUUUUUGAGAUGGAGUCUUGCUCUGUUGCCUAGGCUGGAGUCCAGUGGCACCAUCUCGGCUCACUGCAACCUCCCCUUCCUGGUUUCAAGCAGUUCUCCUGCCUCAGCCUCCUGAGUAGGUGGGACAACAGGUGCAUGCCACCAUGCCCAGCUAAUUUUUUUUGUACUUUUGGUAGAGACAGGAUUUCACCAUAUUGGUCAGACUAGUCUCGAACUCCUGACCUUAUGAUCUGCCAGCCUGGCCUCCCAAAGUGCUGGGAUUACAGGCAUGAGUCACUGCACCGAGACUUUUUAGUGUUUUUAUGGUUGAAUAUUUAAUGAUUCAUUUCAACCUGAGAUAUGAGAUGAAGAUCCAACCUUAUUUUUUUCCAUGUGACUAGGACUUUUGUCCAGAGCCAUUAAUUAAUUCAUUUUUUGUGAGGAUCUGAAAUACAAUAUUUAUUGUUAAACAUAUGGCAUCUCAUUAAUAUUUUAAUUUCCAUUAUUUUGCUUACUAGUGAGAUUAUAUAUAUUUUACAUGUCUUUACUGGCUUUUUGCUAUUGUUUGGUUUUUCUACUCAUUCCUUUACCCUUGAAAAAUUGUCCUCUUGGUGUAUUUAUGCUGAUAUUUAAUAUAAUAUUUCUGUUGAUAUUUAAAUCAUACUGUGAAUGUCACUAAUCUUGAUUGCUCUUUUUCAUUUUUCUUUCAAUUCUACUUAUGAUUUUUAUAUAAGGAAUAUUAUAUUUAUGUAGUAAAGUACAUUUAUAUAUUUAUUGUUAUCUUCUUUAUUUUUAGCUUUUGAAUCUCUUUCUUACCUCAAUCAGUGAACUAUUUUAGGAUUAUAAGUAUGUAUGUAUGUAUGUAUGUAUGUAUGUACAUUAUACCCUUUUUAGUCCUUUUGUAUUAUCUUUUGAUUGUAUGGUGUGUGUGUGUGUUUGCUGCUCGGUAAUCAACUUUUCCAGCAAUGUUGGUUGAGUCAUCCAUCAUUGCCCAGAUUGCUCCUUCAACACAUGUUCCCCUUUAAAGACAGGGUCUUAUUUUGGGCCAUCUGCUUUAUUUUCUUCUCACUAAUUUGUGGGGAAACUUUAUUCUUGUUAGUAUUCUACCUUUCUUGUCUCUCAUUUUUGUUAAACAGAGCAUAUAUGUGAUAGAAAAUAGAAUCCUGGCCGGGCGUGGUGGUGCUCAUGCCUGUAAUCCCAGCACUUUGGGAGGCCAAGGCGGUUGGAUCACCUAAGGUCAGUAGUUUAAGAUCAGCCUGGCCAACAUGGUGAAACCCCAUCUCUACUUAAAAAACAAACAAACAACAACAAAAAAUUAGCUGGGUGUGGUGGUGGCCACCUGUAAUCCCAGUUACUUGGGAGGCUGAGCAUGAGAAUCGCUUGAGCCGAGAUUGCACCAUUGCACUCCAGCCUGGGCGACAGAGUGAGACUCUGUCUCAAAAGAAGAAAAA
ensembl:lncRNA